rnacentral:rRNA from 1 species
CCUACGGGAGGCAGCAGUGAGGAAUAUUGGUCAAUGGACGCAAGUCUGAACCAGCCAUGCCGCGUGCAGGAAGACGGCUUUAUGAGUUGUAAACUGUUUUUGUACGAGGGAAAACGCAGAUAUGCGUAUCUUCCUGAAAGUAUCGUACGAAUAAGGAUCGGCUAACUCCGCGCCAGCAGCCGCGGUAAUACGGAGGAUUCAAGCGUUAUCAGGAUUUAUUGGGUUUAAAGGGUCCGUAGGCGGUCGGAUAAGUUAGAGGUGAAAUCCCGAGGCUCAACUUCGGAAUUGCCUUUGAUACUGUUAGGCUAGAGAGUAGUUGCGGUAGGCGGAAUGUAUGGUGUAGCGGUGAAAUGCUUAGAGAUC